CCUACGGGAGGCAGCAGUGAGGAAUAUUGGUCAAUGGUCGGGAGACUGAACCAGCCAAGCCGCGUGAGGGAUGAAGGUACAGAGUAUCGUAAACCUCUUUUGUCAGGGAACAAAGGCGGGGACGUGUCCCCGGAUUAGUGUACCUGAAGAAAAAGCAUCGGCUAACUCCGUGCCAGCAGCCGCGGUAAUACGGAGGCUGAGAGCGUUAUCCGGAUUUAUUUGGUUUUAAGGGGGCGGAGGCGGGUUUUUAAGUCAGCGGUCAAAGCACGGUGCUCAACCCCGGACACGCGUUGGAAACUGGCAGUCUGGAGUUGGAGAGAAGUAGGCGGAAUGCGCGGUGUAGCGGUGAAAUGCAUAGAUAUCGCGCAGAACUCCGAUUGCGAAGGCAGCAUGCCGGCUCCACACUGACGCUGAGGCACGAAAGCGUGGGUAUCGAACAGGAUUAGAUACCCCAGUAGUC
rnacentral:rRNA from 1 species